rnacentral:snoRNA from 1 species
UCCCUCUUUCUUCCUCUCUGUAAAAAAUCAAUAAAAUGCUAGCAGAGUACACACAAGAAGAAAAGUAACUGCACUAGAUGAUAAAGACUGGGGUGGACCUCAUUCUUAAUGUCCAGUGUCCUUUGUCUUAAAAUUUGGUGCAACAUGU